rnacentral:rRNA from 1 species
CUGGCUCAGGAUGAACGCUGGCGGCGUGCCUAAUACAUGCAAGUCGAACGGAAACCUUCGGGUUUUAGUGGCGAACGGGUGAGUAACACGUAAGCAACCUACCCUAAAGACGAGGAUAACCAUUGGAAACAGUGGCUAAGACUGGAUAGGAAGAAAUAAGGCAUCUUUUUUCUUUUAAAAGACCUAGUGAUAGGUAUACUUUAGGAGGGGCUUGCGCCAUAUUAGUUAGUUGGUAGGGUAAUGGCCUACCAAGACGAUGAUGUGUAGCUGGACUGAGAGGUUGAACAGCCACAUUGGGACUGAGACACGGCCCAAACUCCUACGGGAGGCAGCAGUAGGGAAUUUUCGGCAAUGGAGGAAACUCUGACCGAGCAACGCCGGCGUGAACGACGAAGUACUUUGGUAUGUAAAGUUCUUUUAUCAAGGAAGAAAAGCAAGUGGUGAACCAUUUGUUUGCCGGUACUUGAUGAAUUAGCCCCGGCUAAUUAUGUGCCAGCAGCCGCGGUAAGACAUAAGGGGCAAGGGUUAUCCGGAAUUAUUGGGCGUAAAGGGUGCGUAGGCGGUCUAGUAAGUCAGUGGUGUAAUGGCAACGCUCAACGUUGUCCGGCUAUUGAAACUGCUAAACUUGAGUUAGAUAGAGGCGAGUGGAAUUCCAUGUGUAGCGUAAAAUGCGUAAAUAUAUGGAGGAACACCAGAGGCGUAGGCGGCUCGCUGGUCUUAACUGACGCUGAGGCACGAAAGCGUGGGGAGCAAACAGGAUUAGAUACCCUGGUAGUCCACGCCGUAAACGAUGAGUACUAAGUGUCGGGUUAAACCGGUACUGAAGUUAACACAUUAAGUACUCCGCCUGAGUAGUACGUACGCAAGUAUGAAACUUAAAGGAAUUGACGGGACUCGCACAAGCGGUGGAUCAUGUUGUUUAAUUCGAAGAUACCCGAAAAACCUUACCAGGUCUUGACAUGUUUUUGCGAAACGGUAGUAAUAUCGUGGAGGUUAUCAGAAACACAGGUGGUGCAUGGUUGUCGUCAGCUCGUGUCGUGAGAUGUUAGGUUAAGUCCUAAAACGAGGCGAAACCCUUAUCGUUAGUUGCCAGCACGUUUGGUGGGGACUUUAACGAGACUGCCAGUGAUAAAUUGGAGGAAGGUGAGGAUCACGUCAAAUCAGCAUGCCCCUUAUGACCUGGGCUACAAACGUGAUACAAUGGCUGUUACAAAGGGUAGCUGAAACGCAAGUCCUUGGCCAAUCCCCAAAAACAGUCUCAGUCCGGAUUGAAGUCUGCAACUCGACUUCAUGAAGUUGGAAUCGCUAGUAACGCGAAUCAGCAUGUCGCGGUGAAUACGUUCUCGGGGUUUGUACACACCGCCCGUCAAACCACGAAAGUUGGCAAUACCCCAAAACGGUAGCCUAACUCGUUUAUCGAGAGGGCACUGUCUAAGGUAGGGUCGAUGAUUGGGGUUAAGUCGUAACAAGGUAUCCCUACCGGAAGGUGGGGAUGGAUCACCUCCUUUCUAAGGAAACCAAUAAAAUCAAUCAUCUUCAGUUUUGAAAGACUUAGGAUAACUAGUUUUUCUUCGUGACUUCACGAAGGGCCUAUAGCUCAGUUGGUUAGAGCACACGCCUGAUAAGCGUGAGGUCGGUGGUUCAAGUCCAUUUAGGCCCACCAGAGUUAUAGGUGUCGUAAGAACACAAAUUCUUUGAAAAUUAGG